AAGGGUGGAAAAUUUUGACUCUUUAUUCCUCAUUCCAAUUCAUGCAUAAAUACACAAAUUAUGGUUCUUAAUUUGGAAUUAUACACUUGAAUGCAUAAUUAAUUCCUAUAAUUUCUACAAUUAAAUCAAAGACAUAGGAAUAAAUUAAUGCCUAACUCCCUUACUGAUUGAAUUCUUCCAGACCCGCUUAUUAUGUUAGUGAGGGAAUGAAGACUUGUUUGGAAUCCCAUCCUGUUGCUGGGAUCAUCUAGUGUGCCACUUGGGACCAUCCAGUGUGCCAUCUGAUUCAGGUCUGUAUCACACCUGCAAAUAAUGCAAAUUAACCAUUCGUCGAAUCUUUGGAAUCCACAACUAUUUCUGUUUCCUCCUCAGCCACAUUUGAUUCUGAUCCUUCUGACGCCUUUUCGUUCUCCAAUUCUUUCAUGAACUUCUCUUCUGCAUCCUUCUCCACCCGCAAAAUAGGCUCGUAAUAAUCGGCGUGAGCCUGCAUACACUUCCUCAACGCCGCAGUCGCAUCAAAGCACUUAUCUACAACAUUCUCCUUGUUAGUGUCGGCCUCUUUGAUGCAAUUCUCCCAAUCUAUAAAAACAUCUCUGCAUCCACCCCCUUUCAUGAACAAACAGAACCCACACUCUCCCUCCUCUUCCUCCUCCUCUUCCUCAGUGGGUUUCGUUUCUUGAUCUGAUUCAUCUGGGUUUUGGGUGCCAAUUGAAGAAUUUGUGGUUUCUUUUGACAAUUCAUCCUUGGAAGGAAUAUGGGUAGCUGAUUCUGGGGCUUUGGGAUCCGAAGAGGUCAUGGCAGGGUCUGAUGAGCCAGAGGACGAAUCGAGGUUGUGAGAAUCAGUUGGAUUCGUCGUUGACGUUGCCGUCGCCGUCUAAGAAGAGGGUACAGAACCCAUGACCAUAGCUUAAAACCUCCUUAAAACC
rnacentral:misc_RNA from 1 species